UUGGAGGCAGAGGCUUCCUGACUCUAGAAGAGGGAACAGCUCUUUAGUAGACCUGUUCUAUGGUGUGGCUCUGAGAGUUCACUUGACAGAUUCAAACAUGAAUAAAUCAAGGUCUGUUACCUGUGCUGAGAAAGAUCUUGGAGAAGUCUAGCCUUACAAAUUAUAAGUGUAACAAGCAUGAAGAUCUCUUGUUAUUUUCUAGAAGCUUUGGCAACCAGCUUUUUGUAUUAGUCAUACCAGAAAUGUUGUUCAGUGUUCCAAAUAAUAUUAUCAAAAAGGACUCACUCUUUUUGGGCACUCAUAGAAGCUGACAAGCGGACAACUGGAGGCCUGCCUGUGACUGGGAAAACAGAGAUAUGUCUGCUCUGUCAUGGAUUCUGAUCUGUGAAGGCUACGGAAGGAAUUGGCCAUGUAAUUUCCAGGGACACCUUACUCUCAGGUGUCCAGGAGGAGCUUUUGCAGGAGUUGAUUAAUGCAGAAGUGAAGAAGCACGUCCGUGUCACAUAGAUGGUAAAUGGCAAAACUAGACUUUUCAUGGAGGCCUGUCUCCAUAGACAGUGCUCAGAACCACCCCUCGGUCCUCAUUUGUAACAGUAAGCAGAUCUGCAGCAAGGCAGAAGGUCUCUCAGCUACCACUAGCUGGGGCCAACAAGCCCCAAGAAGUAACAAGCAACUGCAAGCUAUCUUUAGAGAAAGGACAAGAAUAUGGAGAAAGAACCUCUCAGGAGUGUAGAUGUACAGCAAAGACUAAAGCUGAGGGUGGAAGAGAAACAUUUAAAAAAUUCUCUGCAUCUCCAGCCAAGCAUAAGGUCACACAAGAGAAAUUUGAAGCAGCGCAGCAGAAGCAGCUUUAGUAACAGCAAUAUACCAAGUUCAACUCCUGAUGAGAUUGACUCAACCACACACACUAAUGGACUCCCUGAAGGAGAGGCAUGAAUGACCAUUUCUAGGCAUGAAUUCUAUUUACCUCAGUCUCAUGAAAUGCUUUGUUAGCUGCUGUAAGAUUUGGGCUCUUAGUUUAACAAUGGUGGGAAACCACUGGAGGGCUUUACUAUCAUGAGUUUUAAAGGGGUAGGUCUGAAUGCUGAAUUGGUUGCAGACAGAAGAGGGGUAGGUGAAAGCAGAAGGCCAGUUUGGAGGCUAUUACAGUCAUCCAGGUGAGAGACGUUUUAUGAUUUCUUGUAGUAGCAGUGGAGGCAGUGAGACAAGCUCAGUUUCUGGGUCUGUUUUGAAGAUAGAGCCACUAGGAUUUGAUAAUGGAUUGAGGGGUAGAGGAGAAAGAGAAAUGGGAAUAAUAGCUCCAAGAUUUGUGCUCUGAACAGCUGGAGGAGUCAGUUCGCAAUGAAUACACUAAGGGAUAUUGGAGGAGUGACAGAUGGAGAAAGUGUAAGCAGGCUUUGGGGUUUGGUCAUGUUGAGCAUGAGAUGCCUAUUAGACAUCACAAUGAAGCUAAU